rnacentral:misc_RNA from 1 species
GAUGAAGAACGUAGCGAAAUGCGAUACUUGGUGUGAAUUGCAGAAUCCCGUGAACCAUCGAGUCUUUGAACGCAAGUUGCCCCCGAAGCCAUUAGGCCGAGGGCACGCCUGCCUGGGCGUCACACGUCGUUGCCCCCCCAUCUACUCCUUCGGGAUUGCGGGGGGCGGAUGAUGGCCUCCCGUGCGCCCCGUCGCGCGGUUGGCAUAAAUGCCAAGUCCUCGGCGACGCACGCCACGACAAUCGGUGGUUGCGAAACCUCGGUUGCCCGUCAUGUGCGGUCGUCGCGCAUCGAGGGCUCGAAAAAAUUGCCGGGCUCCGGCUCGGCUUUCAACGCGACCCCAGGUCAGGCGGGGUUACCCGCUGAAUUUAAGCAUAUCAAUAAGCGGAGGA